UGGGGAAUAUUGGACAAUGGGCGAAAGCCUGAUCCAGCCAUGCCGCGUGUGUGAAGAAGGUCUUCGGAUUGUAAAGCACUUUAAGUUGGGAGGAAGGGUAGUAACCUAAUACGUUGCUACUUUGACGUUACCGACAGAAUAAGCACCGGCUAACUUCGUGCCAGCAGCCGCGGUAAUACGAAGGGUGCAAGCGUUAAUCGGAAUUACUGGGCGUAAAGCGCGCGUAGGUGGUUCAGUAAGUUGGAAGUGAAAUCCCCGGGCUCAACCUGGGAACUGCUUUCAAAACUGCUGAGCUAGAGUACGGUAGAGGGUGGUGGAAUUUCCUGUGUAGCGGUGAAAUGCGUAGAUAUAGGAAGGAACACCAGUGGCGAAGGCGACCACCUGGACUGAUACUGACACUGAGGUGCGAAAGCGUGGGGAGCAAACA
rnacentral:rRNA from 1 species